rnacentral:misc_RNA from 1 species
CCAAACUUGGUCAUUUAGAGGAAGUAAAAGUCGUAACAAGGUUUCCGUAGGUGAACCUGCGGAAGGAUCAUUAAUGCAAUGGUAGGGGGCGCGAACCCCUCACCGUUACCACCCUUCUUUACGAGUACCUCUUGUUCUUCCUCGGCGGGGUGACUCGCCGGUGGAACCCUUCUAUAAACUCCUUCAUAUCUAAGUAAUACUGUUCUAAUAACCCAAAAUCGUUAACAACUUUCAACAAUGGAUCUCUUGGCUCUGGCAUCGAUGAAGAACGCAGC